GGUGAAGAAAGAUGAAGCAAAUGUUAGCCUGGAAAUGGAUUUGUAAAGCAUGCUGGUGAUGGACCUCAAAGUUUUAAAAGAAAAAGGUUUAUUUUUCCAACCCAGAGACCGUGUUGACAUUGAAAGGGACGGAGAAACCGAGUCAAUAAGUGAUUUGAUAUCUACUAUGGAUAGACGACCGAAUUGUUUUAUAAACAUUUCGUGGUACUGUGAAUUUGAUGAGAAAUCUCCAAAAUCAAUUUAGUUAUCAAGGUUAGUU